rnacentral:rRNA from 1 species
UACAGAGGGUGCGAGCGUUAAUCGGAAUUACUGGGCGUAAAGGGUGCGUAGGUGGUUUGAUAAGUUAGGUGUGAAAGUCCUGGGCUUAACCUGGGGAUUGCGCUUAAGACUGUUGAGCUAGAGUACUGUAGAGGAAGGUGGAAUUUCCGGUGUAGCAGUGAAAUGCGUAGAUAUCGGAAGGAACAUCAGUGGCGAAGGCGACUUUCUGGACAGAUACUGACACUGAGGCACGAAAGCGUGGGGAGCAAACAGG